GUACGCGGUUUGCCGCCGGCGCGGGGCACGCCGGGAGGUGUGGCGGGAGCCCGGGCGCCGCGGGCCGGAGGAGGGAGGCGGCGGCAUGGCGGAGCUGACCGCGGGGCUGAUGGAGCAGGCGGCGCGGCGCACCAGCGCCAUGCGAGGCCGCGAGCCGGGCCUGCGGGGUGACCUGGACCCUCGGGCGUCGCUCCAGCCGCUGACCUCCCUGCGGCAGGAGACGACCCGGUGACAGCGAGUCCUGUACAGCAGCUCCUGCCCGGCCUCGACCUCACCCGCCAGUGAGGACAGAGGGACGCUGAAUGGAACUGGAACUGAAAAAGCUGCGUUCCCGACUGUGAGCUGGGCACCUACUCAGAGCUGAUCCGAUGCGGCCAGUGCCGCCCCACCCGCUGGACCUCCAUCCCUGGUGUGGAGCAGCAGGAGGCAGCGAUUCUCACCGUGGAUGCGUAUCCCUGUCGCUGAAACCAGUGGAAAUGGAUGGAUUUUCUCUCUGAGACGCAGUGGCAGCCGUGCCAGCUUGCAGGGCUGCGGGCGGGGACGGCCUGCCUGGGAGGAGGCACUGCAGGAGGCAGAGGAAUUCAUGGGGCCCCCUGACUGGCUGCAGGGUCGCAGGCUGGGGGUGAGGGUUCGAGAGCAGAGUCCCUCCUGGAGCCUCCGAUGCUCAAGAAAAUGUUCCUUUUGUCUCUGUUCUUUGGAGUUUUGACUGCAGAGGAGACCACUGCAGCCACCGAUGCCCUCCGGCCGGUGUGGCUCAGUGGUUGAGCAUCAGCCUGUGAGCCAGGAGGUCGAGCGGUUCCGUUCCCAGACGGGACACAUGCCAGGCUGUGGGCUCCAUCCCCAGAGUGGGGCGUGCAGGAGGCAGCCGAUGGAAGGUUUUCUCUAUCCCUCGCCCUUCCCCUCUGAGACCCAUAACAUAUUAAAAAAAAACCAAACCGUAAAGCCCGGUUAGCAAAACGGCAAGUGCACAUAUGUGGAUAUAUAUGCGAUUUGAUACGUAUGCUAUUUUGAAUAAACAAUCUUUAAAACUUC